UACGUAGGGUGCGAGCGUUGUCCGGAAUUAUUGGGCGUAAAGAGCUUGUAGGCGGUUUGUCGCGUCUGCUGUGAAAAUCCGGGGCUCAACCCCGGACUUGCAGUGGGUACGGGGCAGACUGGAGUGUGGUAGGGGGAGACUGGAAUUCCUGGUGUAGCGGUGGAAUGCGCAGAUAUCAGGAGGAACACCGAUGGCGAAGGCAGGUCUCUGGGCCACUACUGACGCUGAGAAGCGAAAGCAUGGGGGAGC
rnacentral:rRNA from 1 species